UCCUCUUCUCAGUGCUAGGAUUUUUUGUGUGGUUUAAAACUCUGCAGCUUUUGUACGGUCAGCCUGCUUUACUCCAUAACUCAGGACCAUUUACCCCGGCGUAGUACCUCCCACAGUGUGCUCUGCAGUCUCACAACCAUCUUAUUCAAGAAAAUGCCUCAUGGAUAUGCCCACGAGCCAGUCCGAUGGAAGUCAUUCUCCAGCGAGAAUCCCUCUUUUCAGGUGACUCACGUUGGCGUCCAGUUGGUGAAAGCUGACUAGCCCAGCCUGCAGAGGCAGUCGGCAUGCCUGCCCGGUGUUCCUUUGCACGGAAGUCCCAGAGAGCGAGUGCUGUGGAAGAGUCAAGCAUUGGCAUGUAAGGAGGAAGCUGUGAGCUGGGAUGAAUCCAGAAACGUUUUCUCAGGGGUAGUAUUUUGUGAUAGGUAAGUCUGCGUUGAAGUGAAACCCAGUGCAAUACUCCAGAGGUUCACGUGCAUGCUGUGGGGUUUAAGCAACCUCUAAAGGCUGAUGUUCUAGAAAUAAUGUUGGGAGGACAUUCUAAAGCCACCACUGUAAAUGAGUAGAAGGAGACUUCAAAUGAAUGGCUGCAGUUGUAAGUGUUGGGUGUUUAGACGUUGCUGAGUGUGUGUGGACGGACAAGUCAUCUGAGAGCAGUAGUACUGUAGAAAGCUUUCCAUUUUAUUGGACAUGCAAGUUGGAUAAUAAAGAGGAUCAAAGGGGCUCUGAGCAUGGAGUCAGUUGGACUAUACUGCUGUCUUUAAAAGUUUUUAACUAACUAAUGAAUGUGUGUGUGCGUGUGCGUGUGUGUGCGUGUGCGUGCGUGUGUGUGUGUGUGUGUGUGUGUGUGUGUGUGUGUACAUGUGCUUUCCAGUGUUUGUACAGGACAAUAGAUAGUUUGUAGGAGUCAGUCCUCUCCUUGGUGCCUUUACUUGCUAAGCAGUCUUGCCAGCCCCCUACUGUACUGCUUUGUAAGUGUGUAACCUUUGUUGAUAUAAAUCCAGAUAUGAAUGUAAGUGCACACGGAGGCCUCUUCACUACUAUGCAAAUCUGUCCUGUUUCUCCCCCCGGAGAGUGCUGAUAUCACUUGCAAUGAGAAAUGUUAAAACACAUUGUAAACUAUGAAGCUAUGGAACACAGGAGAUAAUGAAAUAGCCAGGCGGCUGUGAGGAAAGCUGCAGGAGGUUGACAGCCCUGGGGAUGGGUGGAGGGAGGAAUGGUGGAGGACAAAUCUCUUGUUAUGGAUCCUCUUCCUGUUUCCUUCCCGGUUCUUCCCAGUGUCACCGGAGUCGAGCAAGUAUCAGUUGGAGGCAUACAAAACUGAGGAUCUAGAGUCAAAGAACCCAGAUCCUUGAAGAUCUCUAGUAACUUCUAGCGAAUGGGAAAAUCUACAAAGCUGAUUCUUUAGCUUUGAAUGUAAACAAACAUCUGAGCUCGAGUUUCUCAGUGUUGGUAAGCAAUUAUGGACGGAUGACAAAGGCAUGUCAGGCUGCAAUGGCCCUGGCUCAGUGGUGUAGUGGGUGUGAGUGAGAAGUGGUCUAAGGAUGGUAGGGAAGGCAGGGAGGAGAAGGGUUAAUCCAAUCCCAGCAGGUUGGGAUCUGAGUUCAAACUAGGUUGUGAGGGCUGGUGGAGAAGCAUCUGGGCCUGCAGCCAGGCCUGGACUUCAAGUGGAAGCAUUUCACAACCUCUUUUCUCCAGGGGUUAUGUCCUUGGAUUGACAGCCAUCGGGGGCAUUUGGGGGGAGUGGAAAGUGCAUACACUCAGAGCCAAAGAGCUGCAUUCCAGGCCUGGUUCUGUCACUGUUUGCUGGGGUGAGUCUUCCUUUCUGGACUAGUGUUGAAGCAGAUUAGAUGAUGCCUGGAGUUUCUUUCAGAUCCAGACCCCUCUUUGAGGCUGUCUUUUCAAACUGGAAUGCAGAAGGAUAGUGAUGUGAACUGACCCAAUCCCUAGAGUUCUGUGACUGGGCUCUAAGUUCUGGCAAUGAUGGCAACCUAGAAAAUUUCAAAUACAUUUGUCUUGGGGCAGAGACAACUGUGUAGGUCGGAUGAAUAAGAAAUCUGGGGGUCUGGGGAUUUAGCUCAGUGGUAGAGCGCUUACCUAGGAAGCGCAAGGCCCUGGGUUCGGUCCCCAGCUCCAAAAAAAAAAGAACCAAAAAAAAAAAAAAAAAAGAAAUCUGGGACACCUCUGAGGUUAUGCCUCCUAUGCUGUGGUGUUCGGUUGACUUGAAGGAGAAUUUCCUAAUUGGUGUCAGGGCUCCAUCAGCUUGGGAUCACAAACACUUUUCAUUUCCAUUCGUUCUUAGAAAGUAAGACAUCUGCCCUGCUCUUCCCCCAUCUCCAAGCAGAUUCUCGGUGAUCGAUGCAUUUUCUCUCUUGAACUCGCUUACCCUUAAACUUCCUAUCAAAAAGAGCAACACUGGUUCUGGCUUUUGUGUGUUGGGACAUGAGGCUGAAGUUCACUAAAUUGACUACUAGGUCCCUUGGGUAGCCCAGGCUAGAAUGUAUAUACAUGGAGGCAGAGUCAUUCCACAGCAAGUUGCUCUAUCUAUUCCAUUCCUGAAGAGGGACACCCCUUCCCCCAACUCCUCCACAGAAGUCAGUGUUGCUACUAAAUUUCUCUAAGUCAAUGGUUCUCAACCUGUGGGUCAAGACUCUACAGGGGUUGAAGAUUAGAUAUUUCCAUUACCAUACAUAACAGUAGCAAAUUCACAGUUAUGAAGUAGAAACAAAAAUAAUUUUAUGGUUGGGGGUCACCAUGACAUGAGGAGCUGCAUUAAAGGGUCACAGCAUCGGGAGGGUUGAGAACCACUGCUCUAAGCAUUCAUUUCGGUGUCCAGAGAAACCUCUAAAUAGUGUAAAGUUUGUGAGAGUGUCCAGGACCUUAGAUUGGAUGAAGGAUUCAGAAAUAGUGCUGCUACAAUCCUUAACAGUCCUUGGAGAAUAUGGAAUGGCCACAGACAUGAAAUAACAAAGCAAACACACAAAGAAACACCAAAAGAAUAUGAAGGUGGGGCGAUGGCUCUGCUGGUAAAAUGGCUACUGUAUAAUCACAAGGCUCCAAGUGUGGUUCCCUGCAGCCACAUAAAAUCAAGGCACCCCCAGCACUGGAGGGUGGGAUUGGGAGCAGCAGGAGGAUAUUUAGAAUUCAUCGUCUCGCCAGUCUAGAUGAAUUGGUGGGGUGUGACGUCAGCAAGAGACCCUGUCUGGAAAUUUAAUGUGGAAAGAGAUUAAGGAGGAUGCGUGGUAUCAACCUUUGAGGAGGGAGAGUAGAGUUUAGAAGUGAGAUCACAGAAGACCUUUCGAAAGAGGCCACUGAGUAUCCGUAUCUUUAUUAUUUGGAUUAUUGUGAUUUCUGCUAAGUUUUACUGGGCUUCUGGCAUUGAAGACACUGUGCUCUGUGGUUGCUAUUUAUCUUACUUCCUCUUUAUGCUCUGAAGUGACCCCAUUUUGUAGGUGAAGAAAGUGAGACCCGAUGGGGUUAAGUAACUUUCUCUGAACCACCAGAAAGGAAAGGGUUAGAGGUGGAUUUUGAUGGAGGGAUACAGCUGAGAAGAAGGAAAUAACACUAUAAUUUGAGUUGAGUGAAGGAGCUUGGAGAGUUUGAGGAUUUUGGAAAAGGACAGGAAGUUGACCUGUGAAGUUAGGUGAGGGUGGGGUCAGAGACUGGAGUAUUGACAGGCGAUAGGGACUUGAGGUAGAGAAUGUAGCAGCCCAGGGCUUAACAACUGCCUCUCUACCCCUUACUCUGAGCACCAAAGACACAACCUACUCUGGUGAAGCUGCACAGGUAUCCCAAGGGCUUCCUGUUACCCAGCCUUGCAGCACAAAGCACUCCUCCCUGUGCCCUCUGCCUUCCGACCUCACUGUGCCUUUUCUCAGCCAUCCUUGGUACCCCAGGCCCAAAAGCUCAGAAAGGCUGCAGCAAAUGAAUCACUGAGUUCUUUUAUUGGAUUUAAAAUCUGAAGAAGACUACCUGGGUGGGACUGAAGAGAGGCUGUUCUGAGUCAUCAUCCACCCCCAGGAGAUCAAACAGAAGGGAGAUCAGAGAGACAGAGCAGGGCAAGAGACUGUGAGUGCCCAACAAGCUGCUGAGUCUAUCUAGGGCGUCUGAUGGGACUCCCAGAUGGAUACACUGGUACCCACCCACCCCCACCCCCUGGGGUCCCAAAGAGCCUCACAGGACAAGAGAGCCCAAUGCUACAGUGGAAGCAAAGACCAUAGUGACUUUUCCUCAUCUAGAAGGGUCUGCCCACUGACGAUCACACUAUGCCUUGGUCCUUUCUAAGAACUUCUUGGACCCGAAACAGUAGUACCAUCUGCUGGACCAUCCAGCAGAGUGGAAGCGGGGAUGUGGAGAUCCUCAUCUCCUCUGUGAGUUCCCUGGCUGGGAAUAACGUAUUCAGUUCUCAUACAUGAUUCCCACAUCUCUCUUACAAAUAAGGAAACUGAGGCAAGGGGAUGUGAAACCAUGAGAUCAAGCCUCACCGUCAGUGUUAGAGCUAAGCCCAGGCAGCUUGACUACAGAGUCCAAAUCUCUGAACUCUUUCCCCUGCCACACCAUCUUCUGGUUGCUAUUCUAAGACCACCAAACUAAAGAAGGUCUGAUAACUCAUUUCUAACAUAAUGCCAACUCUGGAAUCUUGGACUAUGUAGUUCAGUAGAAUAAGCACAAAGUUAGGAACAGGCUAUCUUCAGCUGGCUGUUAAAUAUGAGGUGGUUGUGUCAUGAAUAUUUUGCCUCCGUUAACUUAAGUGUUUCUAGCCUUGGCUUCCUGCCACUCCAAUAGGGAAACAGAGAAUUGGCUUGAUUUGUAGACCCACUGGACCCCAGACUCACAGUAGUUUGCAAACCAGUAGCUGAUCAAGUUGGAAAACAGGCCUCAUCUAAGCCAGGCAGAGAGAGAUAAGGCCGUGGCCGAUGAUGAGUACAGUGGUUCCGAAAGAUAAGAACCAGAGGGAGGCAGAAGUCCAAGCAGGGAUAGAAGACGGCAGGAGUCCUCAGUUGUCUCAGCCAGGAGCCCGAGGCAGAUGGUCCGAUAAUAGCAACGACCUUACGUGAGUUGAAGAGGCAGGGGACCUCUAGUGCCCCACAAUGAGAAAGGUUCUGUAAUAGGGACACAGUUUCAAAAUUUCCUGGCUUGAUGAAAUAGUCAAUGGGAUAAAGGCUAGAUUAACACUGUGGCCAGGAAGGCCGUAGACAGGGAAGAAUGUGGGCCUAUUGUUAGAACAUCUAGCUUGUAGCCUUUGGUCUUCCAACAAGGUGAAUGGCCUUAGAUUAGUUGUGUGUAUCUCACAUUGCCUACAAUAGCUGUGACCUUUCACUGAGUACUUGCUUCAGAGCCCAAACAAGUCUUAACAAAGUCUUUUAGAAGUUCUAUACAUAGACUUUCACCUAGAGGUGGAAAAGACAGCUCAGAGAAGUUAAGUAACUUAGGCGAGGUGGCCUAGUACUCCUAGACCUGGGAGUUUUUCCAAAGUCUGAAUACCACCUACCCCCAGAACAGUUCCCUGGGUUGAGCCUGUGUUCUGAUGUCACAUGCCACAUAUCUUUCAGUGAAGUCUCAGUGGGAUCACGGAGUAAAUAGAGAGACCGAGCCCUCAAAGCAGGAGACACAGAGAGGAGAGGCAGGAAGAUGCAGAAGAGAAUGAGCUCAGUGGGGUGUGUCCGACAGGUGCUCUGUCUGGACAUCCAGAAGCUGGAGUUCCUCUCACAGCCACCGAGAUUGCCUUCCAAUUUGAGGGUUAUGAGGCUUAGUGUCUCAGGAUAACAAGACAUGUUACGGUCUCACUAUUUGGGGUCCACAUCUGAACAUGUAUGUUGGAGGCUAUUCUCCAAUCCCAGUUGCUGAAGGAUUGGAAAACCGAGUUUCAGAAAGAGCUCUACCAAGUCCAUUAGCUUCUCUGGGCUGGGGGUUCCUGCCUGUGUCUGACUGGGCUGUGCACAUCCCAGCACCUAGCCACCUGACAUGUCCUGAACUUUAGUCUUUCCUAGGGUCAUCUGCCAUGUGUCCUGCACUCCCAGAAUCCUGUUCUCAGUCAGUGGUCUCCUUCAGCUGUUAUGGUGACCAUAACUGAUGCUCUCAGCUUCUCCAGGACACUGGAUUUUGUGGGUAUCGGAAGGGUCCUUUGGCUCUGGGCUGGAGUCAGAUGAGCUAUGAAGAAAGGAAGCCAGAAGAGAGCAUCAGUUCCCAUGGAAGUGAAGUUACAGGUGACUGUGAGCUACCUCACGUGAGUAGAGUAUACUCUUAACCGCUCGGUCAUGUCCCAGCCUGAACCCGUGUCUGUAAUACAAUCUAUAGACGUUGUUUCUCUUGCUUUUGCUUUUUAAAGCAAUAUAGAAAAAGGAGCAAAGGUUAGAGUUGGGGCUUUCUGACAUGGUGGCAAAAUAACCAGAAAUAAAUAAUUUAAGUUUGGAUCCAUUGUCAUUCACCGCCCUCCCCCCCACACACACAUACUGUGGUAAGGCAGAGCAUCAUGGGGGGGAACAUGUGUUAGAGAAAAUUGUUCAUCUCGUAGUAGAUGGAAAGGAGAGGUUUGGACAAUGUGGGAGGGAGGGAAGAGGAGAGCAAGGAAGGGGUGGGCACCAAGGGUGGUCUAGAGACAAGACAGAUCUACCGAAGGUAUACUCUGAAUGACCCUUCAACUAGAUCCUACUUCCAUCACCUCCUGAUAGCCCAUCAAACUGUGAACCCCUCAAUCAAUGAGUUAAUUCAUCAAUGAUGUCAUAGCUGGCAUGAUUCAUUGAUACACCCAAAGCGAUCUCAAUGCAUCAGUGGCAAGAAUUUCAUCACAGGAGGGCAUUUCAAGAUCAAAACAAAAUAGGGCUCCAAGGGGUUAUAAAAAGUCCCAGACUAGGUCUGGUGGCUAAGUGACCCAAGUGGAACACUUACAAGCUAUGCCAUAUUAUCUCUCCCACUAAUAUGAAUGAGAAUAGAUUCUUCUUAUCUUUCUUGCAUGCCUCCUGAGAAAAUGAACCACAGGAAGUCUAAAGGAAAUGCUCCGUAAAUGCUGAAAUGUUCCAAAGCCUGAAAAUGUUCCAAAUAUGGCAAGUGGAGAUUGGGGGACGUCUCUGACCUUCUGUACUCUUCUGCUGGAGUAAAGGCUGUGCCUUAAAGCUCUUCCUCGUGGCAGGACUCUCAGGAAUCUCCCUAGCCUGCCAGUUGGACAAUAGAUACCCAGAGCCUGCAGGAGCUAGGGAGGGGUAAGAUGAAGAGCCUGGUAUGGAGUUGGUGGAGAGGUUCAAUCCAGAAGGCAGGGUUUAGCAUCUCUGGGGAUGAGGGGUGGGGAGGUUCACUGCUAUCCUAAAGACAUAGUUUUCCAAACUCUGUAAUUAGAGCUUCACACCUUUUCUACUUAAAAUUGGGUGUCUGAGUCAGCACCUACCCAUAUUAACUAGGAACUUACUAGAAAUAGAGAUCCUCAGCUCCUGUCCCAGACCUCUAGGGCUCUAAACCAAAGCCUGUAUAAGACGUAACCAUUCCAGAUGCACCCAUGUACUCAUUUGAAAACACCAUUCUUGGACUUCUCUCAGGUCCCCUCAAGGGUCACCAGUGAGUGAGAACAGUUGUAUAAGUGAGGUCUGAUUAAAAAAUAAAAUCAGACAGCCAAGAAUGCUGGUACAUGCCAUUAACCCCAGCACUGAGGAGGCUAUGCUGAGACUACUAAGA